UUGGGAAAAAUAGAGGUACGACAAAGAAGAGGAAAAAACCCAAUAUGGAAACAAAUAACAAACACAAGAUCAAGAAUACUUUAGGAAAGAUAUUUAGGCUUGAAACGUGUAUAAAUACUUUCCUAAAAACGAUAUUUGCACCCUCUUCUCAAUAAGAUUGCUCUGGGUUUGAUGCAAAUAGUUUUAGUGGAUAUGACAAGCCUUUAGAAGAUCUGUAUUGAGCAAACAAUAAAGAAU
rnacentral:lncRNA from 1 species